rnacentral:rRNA from 1 species
UUCCGUGCCGCAGUUAACGCAUUAAGUGCCCCGCCUGGGGAGUACGACCGCAAGGUUGAAACUCAAAGGAAUUGACGGGGGCCCGCACAAGCGGUGGAGCAUGUGGUUUAAUUCGAUGCAACGCGAAGAACCUUACCCAGGCUUGACAUGCACUGGACCGGUGUGGAAACACACCUUCUCCGCAAGGGGCCGGUGCACAGGUGCUGCAUGGCUGUCGUCAGCUCGUGUCGUGAGAUGUUGGGUUAAGUCCCGCAACGAGCGCAACCCUUGCCUCUAGUUGCUAGCAAGUAAAGUUGAGCACUCUAGAGGGACUGCCGUCGAUAGGACGGAGGAAGGUGGGGAUGACGUCAAGUCCUCAUGGUCCUUACGCCUGGGGCUACACACGUGCUACAAUGGCCGGUACAAAGGGUUGCAAAGCCGCGAGGUUGAGCCAAUCCCAAAAAACCGGUCUCAGUUCGGAUUGCAGUCUGCAACUCGGCUGCAUGAAGUUGGAAUCGCUAGUAAUCGCUGAUCAGCAGGCAGCGGUGAAUAUGUUCCCGGGCCUUGUACACACCGCCCGUCAAGCCACGAAAGCUGGUAGUACCCGACGUCGCUGUCCUAACCGCAAGGAGGGAGGCGCCUAAGGUAAGAUCGGUGAUUGGGGCUAAGUCGUAACAAGGUAACC